rnacentral:pre_miRNA from 9 species
AAUCGGGACUUUGACCUAGCCUCUCCUUGGCUUUGUCUGAACCGUUAGUAGCUCAGACAUAGCCUGAUAGAGGUUACGUUUUGUCCCUUUCC